rnacentral:lncRNA from 1 species
AAGGUAUCUUUUGCUGAGAAUGGCUGGUAUUCUUCUUGUUUAUGUAGGACAUUAUGCUACGCAGUGAAUAAAUAUAUUACAGAUCUUGUCUAUGUAACAUGCGCAAUUUUCUUUCUGGGAUAUCAAUUUUGGCCUGUACUUCCAUUUGCGGUCAAUGCAUUGAUGAGAAGAGGGAUGAGAUUCAUAUUUAACCUUGAGAAAUGAAGAUUUCUGGCUUCCUCUAGUUCUUUUUCUCUGAUGAAAAUAACAUUUCUUAAACAGAUAAUGGAGAUUGCCAGUGUAUUGCUCAUAGGACUUUCUAUGGGCUCUUGAGAUCUGAUGUCACAUGUACUUCGUGUGGAUUCACUUCAACAACUCAUGAUCCUUGUAUGGACAUUUCUCUUGACUUGAGUAGCUGCAACUCCAGCCAUCGUGCGGAUUCACUUCAACUACUCAUGAUCCUUGUAUGGACAUUUCUCUUGACUUGAGUAGCUGCAACUCCAGCCGGAAGGAUUUGGCUGAUAAGUCGAGUAAGCCUAAUGAAUCUCUUGUAGGUUGCUUGGACCUCUUCACAAGAC